rnacentral:ncRNA from 1 species
UUAAAACUGAUGACGGAACGAGUAAUACCACAUUCCUUUGCAGAGAAGCUUCGCUGGGUGAAAAGAAGCUAAGGAGUUUUGUAUGAAGGCUAUUCCCGAGGGCAAGCAAGAACCUUGACGAGGCACGCGUUAAGUGCGAUGACAGUAAACUGUCGCAAAGCGACUCAUUCUGAACAGAGGCUGCCGGCGAGGAGUUGAGAUUAGGUAUAUUGAGUAAACCUUAGAUCAGACCUCUGGCUUUUGACCUCCAACGUCCGGAUGAGUAAGCAGGGUGGUACCACGGUAAUAUGCCCGUCCCUGAU